GUCUAUGGCCAUGCCACCCUGAACAAGCCCAAUCCUGUCUGAUCUCAUAAGCUAAGCAGGGUCGGGCCUGGUAGUACUUGGAUGGGAGACCACCUAGGAAGACCAGGUGCUGUAGGCG
rnacentral:rRNA from 1 species